GCGGAGGGAUCAUUACUGAGUUACCGCUCUAUAACCCUUUGUGAACAUACCUACAACUGUUGCUUCGGCGGGUAGGCCGUCCCCUGAAAAGGACGCCUCCCGGCCCGGACCGGACCCCCCGCGGGACCGGACCCGGCGCCCGCCGGAGGAUAACCAAACUCUAUUGUAACGACGUUUCUUCUGAGUGGCAUAAGCAAAAUAAUCAAAACUUUUAACAACGGAUCUCUUGGUUCUGGCAUCGAUGAAGAACGCAGCGAAAUGCGAUAAGUAAUGUGAAUUGCAGAAUUCAGUGAAUCAUCGAAUCUUUGAACGCACAUUGCGCCCGCCAGCAUUCUGGCGGGCAUGCCUGUUCGAGCGUCAUUUCAACCCUCAAGCUCUGCUUGGUGUUGGGGCUCUACGGUCGACGUAGGCCCUCAAAGGUAGUGGCGGACCCUCCCGGAGCCUCCUUUGCGUAGUAACAUUUCGUCUCGCACUGGGAUCCGGAGGGACUCUUGCCGUAAAACCCCCCAAUUUUCCAAAGGUUGACCUCGGAUCAGG
rnacentral:rRNA from 1 species